GCUGCUGCUGCUGCUGCUGCGACGCCGAGGACGAACCGGCGGUCAGGCCGUCCAGCACCUUCCUGAUGUUGAAUUUCCUCAUGGUCUCGGAGGGGCUCCUCCGCAGCCCGGGAGGGGAGGCACAGGGGGUCCCCGGGCGGGGGAGACCACCCGGGGCCGAGGGCAGCUUCGACCGCGGAAACGGAGGAGUGGGAGUGUGAGGAGAAAUAUGCAAUGAUGACAUUUCCAAGAAGUGAUGGCAUCUGGCACUAAGGACAAAGAAUGGGAUUUUGCCACAGGGAUCUUAUUCUCCCACAUGUUCUGUCUGAAGGAGAAAGUUAUCUGAGGCCUUAUAUGAUGCAAAACUUUGGCCUCAAAGAAAUUAAAUCCCUUGUCCAAGGUUACAUAGCUGCCACCCAGGAGUUUACAAUUUUUGUGAGGAAACAGAUUGUAUACAUAUACAGAUAAUUAAAAAUAUGUAUGCCCCUGGCAAACACCAUUCUACUUUCUGUCUCUAUGAAUUUGACUACUCGAAGUACCUCAUGUGAAAUGUUGGUGCCAAAUGAACUUUUCUGGUUCUUCUGAAUAUGCCACUGUUGCUGCAGAAAUGUCACUGCUAGAGAAUAGAAGACUAUUAUUACAAAAGGUAUUUGAGACUGACUGAAUCAGGUCUGGAACAUUAUUGAAAUGAGACCCACAAAGGAAGAGAUACUGAGGUGGUGACCAGAUAGAUAUAAACGGGCUGUGGAAAAAGAGAAUGCAUGGCCAAAAACGGUGGUGCUCUCUGUCCAAAAACUAAGGCCCUAUGACCAUGAAUGAAGCCAGAGGGCAGGUAGGAACAGAUCAUUUGCUCCAGGAGAAGCUGGUUGCCAUGUCUUGAGGACAGUAAACUCUCUGGGGAGGUUCCUGUGGUAAGGAACCAGGGCUCCUGGUAAUAGCCUCUGAGUGAGCCACCUUGAGAAUGGAUUGUCCAGCCCCAGUCAAGCUUUCAGAUGACUGUAGCCCCUGCCAGUGUCUUCACCACAAUCUCAUGAGAUCCCAAGCUACAACCACUCAGUUAAGUUAUUCCAAAAUUCCUGACUCACAGAAAUUGAGAUACAGAAGAGGUCACAGUUAAGAUCUUGAUGUUCUAUCUUGACCCAUAAUAUAGGAACUUCACCUUUUCAGAAGCACCAGGGAGAGCUGCCUGUGCCUGGCAGAAGCUGCCCAUGCCCCACUGAUAACCCUACAGUACUUCCUGUUCUGCUCAGUACUCCUGCUUCUUUCUACAAACAACUGUGAUUCUCCACCUGGGAGCUUCCUCUGGCCGCAGGAGCCUGCUCACCUGAUUGGGACACUCCAGCAGUACUGGCUCAUAGGUGGAAAGGACUUGCCUUGUCGCUGAUGAGACUUUGGACUUGGACUUUUGAGUCAAUGCUGGAAUGAGUUAAGACUUUGGGGGACUGUUGGAAGGGCAUGAUUGUGUUUUGAAUUGUGAGGACAUGAGAUUUGGAAGAGGCUAAGGGCAGUGUCCCCACCUAAAUCUCAUCUUGAAUUGUAGUUCCCAUAAUCACCACGUGUCAUGGGGUGGAGCCGGUGGAGAUAAUCGAAUCAUGGGAACACUUUCCCCCAUGCUGUUAUUGUGAUUGUGAGUUAUCACGAGAUCUGAUGGUUUUAUAAAGGCCUUCCCUCUUCACUGGGCACUCAUUUUCUCCUUCCUGCCACCAUGUGAAGAAGGACAUGCUUGCUUCUCCUUCUGCCAUGAUUGUAAGUUUCCUGAGGCCUCCCCAGCCAUGCUGAACUGUGAGUCAAUUGAACCUCUUUCCUUUAUAAAUUACCUAGUCUUAGAUAUGUCUUUAUUAGCAGUGUGAGAUAGGACUAAUACACAAAGGAUUUGAAAUCACAAAGGAGCUGUUUUCUGCUCCACCACGGAAGUCUCACAUGCAUCACAUCUAUUCACAUCCAUUUGCCACAACUAGACAAAAAGUCCUUUUCUUAAUCUGCCUAGAGAUCAAGAAGUAUUAUCUCUGGAUGCCUAGGCAGGAGAGGUGAAUCAGAUAUUGGUGGGCACUAGUGUGUUCUAUGAUACAUACCUUAAUAAAAAUAAGUUUCAGAUAAAUCUAAAUAUACAUUAGAAUACUGUAACCACAGUAGAAAAAAAUAUUGGCUCCUUUUUGUGAUAAACUAAUGAUGGUAAUUGCACCCUAUUUAAGCAAGAAAAGAAACUGAUCUGCCAUAAAGAAAGCAAUGAUGUAUUUAACUACAAAUAUGUUACAAAAUAUUAAUAUCCAUAAUGGACAAAUGAGUUCCAAUAAAUGGAUAACAAAAAACCAAUAAGCCUGUAGAAAAAUGGAGAAAAUAUAUUUGCAGAAUAUUUAUACAAGUGGUAAUGAAAUUGACAAUGAUGUUUAUCAUCAGCAGUAAACAGUAAAAAGUUUCACCCACCAGGACUACAGAAAUUUUUCAAAUGGAUAAUUUUCAGAAUCAGCAAAGUUAUAGAAAAGUAGGUACCAGUUGCACAUACCAUUGAAGGAAAUGUAAAAUGUAGUUACCUUGUGGAAAGUAAUCUGAUAUAAUAUCUUAAAAUUUUAUCCAUGUAUGUCCUAUAAUUCAGCAAUUCCAUGUUGGGGAAUCCAUACAAAGAAAUACUUAUACACAUGCAGAAGGAGCUAAGUUUAAGAAAGCACACAUUUCAGCGGGUUGUGGUGUCUCACCCCUGUAAUCCCAGCACAUUGGGAGGCCGAGGUUGCUGGAUCACCUGAGGUCAGGAGUUUGAGACCAGCCUGGCCAACAUGGUGAAACUCUGUCUCUGCUAAAAAUACAAAAAAUUAGCUGGUGUGGCAGUGGGUGCCUCCAGCUACUCAGGAGGCUGAGGCAGGAGAAUCGCUUGAACCCGGGAGGUGGAGGUUGCAGUGAGCCGAGAUCACACCACUGCACUCCAGCCUGGGUGACAAGAGCGAAA
rnacentral:antisense_RNA from 1 species